rnacentral:rRNA from 1 species
UACGAAGGGGGCUAGCGUUGUUCGGAAUUACUGGGCGUAAAGCGCACGUAGGCGGAUAUUUAAGUCAGGGGUGAAAUCCCAGAGCUCAACUCUGGAACUGCCUUUGAUACUGGGUAUCUCGAGUAUGGAAGAGGUGAGUGGAAUUCCGAGUGUAGAGGUGAAAUUCGUAGAUAUUCGGAGGAACACCAGUGGCGAAGGCGGCUCACUGGUCCAGUUACUGACGCUGAGGUGCGAAAGCGUGGGGAGCAAACAGG